rnacentral:rRNA from 1 species
AUUGAACGCUGGCGGCAUGCCUUACACAUGCAAGUCGAACGGCAGCACGGGGCAACCUGGUGGCGAGUGGCGAACGGGUGAGUAAUGCAUCGGAACGUGCCAUUGAGUGGGGGAUAACGUAGCGAAAGUUGCGCUAAUACCGCAUAUUCUGUGAGCAGGAAAGCAGGGGACCGCAAGGCCUUGCGCUCUUUGAGCGGCCGAUGUCAGAUUAGCUAGUUGGUGAGGUAACGGCUUACCAAGGCGACGAUCUGUAGCGGGUCUGAGAGGAUGAUCCGCCACACUGGAACUGAGACACGGACCAGACUCCUACGGGAGCAGCAGUGAGGAAUAUUGGUCAAUGGGCGCAAGCCUGAACCAGCCAUGUCGCGUGCAGGAAGACUGCCCUAUGGGUUGUAAACUGCUUUUAUAGUAGAAGAAACACAUCUACGUGUAGAUGUCUGCCAGUAUACUAUGAAUAAGC